ACAUAGCUGCAGGAGUGGACAGACGUUAAUUGGAAUAUUGUUCCUUGCCAUGUUUCAGUUGUUUUCCACAGGAAGAGUACUGUCAAUUCAGUGAUCCUCAGAGGAUGAAGAUUAGUGAUUGCUGUUAUACCAGUGACUGUAUCGGUAAUCAUAGCCUGCCUGAAGUGCUGGGAAGAAGGUCAUGUCAGCACUGGACUCUCUACUCUGAUACACACUAAGGAAGGAAAGUGGUGAUUUUCAGAGGCAUUUUGUUUGAUCACAGUGACAACUUACUGCUACUCUGCAUCCCAUACAUUAAGGAGCUGCAAACCUUCAAGCAAUAACUAAAUCACAUCAAGGGAAAAUACUGCAAUGAAUGCCACUCCUGCAGACCUUACACAUGAGCAGUCUCAUGAAUGCAGUAAGAUUUACUCCUGUGAGUAAAAUCUGCAGGACCAGAAUCUGUUUUUUUUAAAAGAUGAGGUGAUAAUCCCUGAAAGAACAAAUCCUUUGGAAGAAAAGGAUCAAGUUUAAGAUGACUGUUAUGAGACCUGGUUUGAAACCACUUUUCUCUCGUUUGGUAGUUUCCUGGUCUGCGAUAUGCUUGCACCGUUUUACCGAUUACAUUCCUAGGAAACAACAUACAGAUCUACGACAUGGAGAGCGAUGCCGAUAGUCCAGCUGUGUGACUUAAGCAAAUCACUGAAAUGUAAAGGACAAAAACAUCCCUAGAGGACACGGCCUCCUAGCGGAGUAGCUAGAGCAUGUUGAGGCUCACAGGGCAAGUAUGUUGGGGUGGAGUGACUACUACAAAUCAAUCAUGAAAGAAAGCUAACAUCACACAAGUUACGCAUCUAGCAAUCAGUGUCUGACAGCAAGAAACAAGCUGGAGCUUAGAAGAUUUCACUGUGUAUUUGAAGCCCCGGUCCCAACCUUGCUCCUCGUACGGCUCCUCUGAAGGCUGUAAUUUACUAAACCCAUCUGGUGUGCUCUCAACGCGCGCUCUGGAAACGCUGCGUUUCAAGGGUCCGCUCGUUACAGAAGGUCAAAGAGUGAAGCAGGCCCUUUCAUUUGAAAGCAACUUGAAAGCAAAGGAAAGGAAAUUUAUAUUUAGAAAUAGCAAUGAUUAACCAAGGAAAAUAUAUUAAAGCAUUAAAAUAAAUGACAUAGAAUAGCUCUUACAUCCAAUUAAGAUGACUUGGCUUCAAGAAAAAUAUUUAUAUACAAAUAUAAAAAGCUGAGGAAUGCUAAACUAUGCUGAGAUGAAAGUUUCUCAGAACAUAAUUCACGUUUCGCCUUUAUUGCCCUUAAAUACCUAUACGAACAGAGAUCACUUUUUUUUUAUAUACCUUUUUCUUCUUGUCCUGCUAAAACCAGCGCAGUUUCUUUGCUUUCUCCUCUCCCCCACUAAAUCUUUUAAGAAACUUCUUCUCUCCGCUACUGAAUUUCUGUUGCAGUUGCUUACCCUCAACCCUUAAACUUCCAACAAAAGUACAUUUCUUAUUAAUAUACCAGUUUUUAUAUUUGGGCAAUGAUGUGGGUCAUAUAAGUUUUGCCCCAUCGGAACAAAUUAUCCACCAAAGAAUUUAGGUAUGUUACUGAACUGCCUAAGUCCAAAAGUUAGAUCCUUAAUGAGCCAGUGGGGCUCAUUUGCAACCCAAUAUAGGUGCGCUCUGAAAGAGUGCACGUCCCCUUGUCUACCUGUUCCACAACUUUAUGAACACUAGAUGCACUUUAACAAAAAAAAGGUAUUGUGAGUAAUUCCUAAGUAUAACCUAUGAUUGCACGAGCCAUCCUUAAGAUAUAACAUAGCAACUGUGUAACAGUGCACAUUAGUGCAAUCCAGGGGUGACAUACCCAAGCUAGCCUUAGACUAGUUGGUUUGACUACCAGUAGCAAUCUAGCCAUGUCAACACAGGCCUUCCUGACAGCACAAACCUGCC